rnacentral:lncRNA from 1 species
AUGUUGGAUCCCACAGAGGUGCCUGCAGGAAUUUUCCAGGGGUCAGCUGUACCUUGGGGAGUCACGAUGACUGCAAAAUCUCCUCCUGGGUCCCACUGGAAGGAGCUUGCUGAGGAAACUCAGAAGAGAGCAGCAGUUUUUGCUUUCACCAUAAAUAACUACAGAGCAAAGAAGGAGGUGUCACUCCUGAAGAUAUGGACUGGAGAUGGGACCAUCACUAGAAUUUCCCAAAGAACUUCUCUAGGAAAAAGAUGGAGGGCAGAGAGACUGGCAGAACACAGUGAGUGCAUUGGGACAAUAUUUCCAGAUGUCUGGUACAAGGACGUUGGGAACAAGUACGGUGGACGGUGUGUGAAAGGAAAACACCAUUGGCUGAUGCUGCUGUUCAAUGAAAGUGUGUGCAUGAGUUUGUCUUGGGGAUUUUAGAGGAAGACAAGUGCUGUGGACAUAAUUUUUCAUCUUGCAAUGGAAGAAUUGCUCAGCUUGUUCCAACUAUUACAAAGAAUAUUUCUUUUAGGUGACCAAGAAAUUGAGUAAAUUGCUUUUCCUGUGGUUUUUCUAUCCCCUCCCCUUCUUUCCCUUUGUGUUUUCUAGUCCUUCUCUUGCUCUGUACAUUUGCAAAGCUUUAGUACUUCUUUAGAUAUCAGAACCACUAAAUUACACCAUAAUUUUAACCUUUUUUUUUCUUUCUUUUUAACGCAGAGAGCUGCAUGACUUUCCCAAAUGAGGAGCAAGAGGCAUUGUGUGGAAGAGCAGGGAGCUGGACCUGCAUUUCUGGAAGACCAGACCAUCAGGGCUCUUUCCUCCUGGCUGUCCCUGGCUACUUUGCAUGAACUGCUGUCGUCCUCUCAGGACUGGAGCAUAAUAAUUUACAGACUGUGCUUGCUGCCAAGCCUCCCUUCCCUGAAAGGCUGUUUGUCCCCAGCAGUAUGGAAGAGAAAUCACUCCACUACAAGUACAUUAAGGACACGAACAGCUCUGACAAGAGGUUGAGUAAUAAUUUGUUCGGUAAGCUCACUUAUGCUUUAUUGAAUUCAUUAAUUGGCUGUCCAACAGCUCCAUCAGGCGCUUUUGCAGCAGCCAGGCACAGAAACACAACCUCAAGUCUGGAGUCAAGUCAAAAGGUCCUCCCCACUUCUUUACUAUAGUGUUAAAAUGAAAAUGUCCUCAAGCAAGCAGAGGUGUCCUGCCACAGUGACUAAAACUGUGCAGUGCAGACUAAGCAUUAGCAUUAUGUCAGCAGCAACAACUAAGUGAGGCUGUGCCAAGAUUUGGCAGGUUAAUGUUCUCUGAACACACCUGAAGUGCUUAACAGUUUGAUGUGGCAAUGGCAGGAAAUAAAAUUUUAAUAAAAUUUGAGCA